rnacentral:lncRNA from 1 species
AAAUCAAAUUUCAACCCCAGCAUUAGCCAUGGGGUAGACGAGCCUGUGUAAGGAGGCAGGAUUCCACCUCUUGGCCAGGGCUUUAC